rnacentral:lncRNA from 1 species
UUGUUUGUUGUUGCAUACACCAGGCUGCUGGACACUGAACUUCUGGCAAUUCUCUUGUCUCUGACCCCAUCUCCUGGUAGAGGUGCACUGGACUACAGACAUGUGCCCUACUGCACUGGCUAUUUAUGUGGAUUUGAACUCAGGUCAUCAGGCUGUGGGGCGAGUGCCUUACCCUCUGAACUAUCUUCCCAGCCCCUGUUGUUGGCUUGUGUCUCAUGUGUUAGGGAGGUUCAGUGCCCUCAUGGCACUUGGCAGUGCUUUGUGAGGCACCAGAGAGUUGGAGGCCACCAUGGUGUGACAUGACCCUUUGCAUGUCCUUCCCGCUAUUUCUCAGGCUGGAUACAAAGUGCCAGGUGCAUGGAAACUUCAUUAUAGAGGUUCAGGUACCCAGGUCAAUGUUUUCCUCAGGAACUCUAAGUAGAAAACUAAACUCUAGUCAGUUUGCUAUUAAAAACAGAUCCCAGCUCAAGCGUCCCGGGACUCCUUUUGUACCCUGGACAUCUGGUUGACAGUUCUCAUCCUUCAACUUGCUCAGCCCUCUGGGUCUCAGAUCAGUAGCCAGCCACAUAGAAGCAAACACUCUUUUAAUCGGGUACUUGACCACCCCCUUCCUCCCCUAAGACGAGGGGAAUACUUACACACAUGCUGGCUUCUCUUCCUGCACCAAAAACCGGCAGGUUCCAUGGAAGCAGUACUGAGUGUGGGAAUCUGGGCACUUGUUGAAGUGAGACACCACUGCAGCCGCCACGGGUGAGUCUGCUGGGGCAAAGAGACAUCAUCAGACCUGGCACAGCUCACACCCAGGAGGAAUUUCUGCCCUCACCUGAUGCCUUCUGCAAAACUCACGUCCUAAUGCCCAGCCAGGGCUCAGAGUUUUCAUUAAGCAGUCUGUAUAUUUUUCUAAGAUAACAAAAUAAUUUCUCCAAAGGCUUUGGUAUAAUUCAAAGAUAGCUAGUUAGAUUCAUUUGCAAAAUGGCACACACCUGAAAUCCCAGCACUCAGAAGGUAGAGGCACAAGGAUCAGGAGUUCGAGGCCAACCUAGUCCAUAUGUGGAGUUUGAGGUCAGUUGGAUCUCAUUAUCUCCAACCCCCAAAAGAAGCCAAGGAACGGCUCAGUAGGCAAAGUGCUUGCUGUGCAAAGAUGAGGACCUGAGCUUGGACUCCAGCACCCACAUAAAGAGACAUCACAGUAAGGAUUGCAACUCCAGCAUUCUAGUUCCUGGGGAACCACUAUACUGCUGAAGGCAGAGCUCUAUGCCUUGUAACAGAAUAAACAAAGAUGCUCAAUGGAUAAACAUACUGACACACAUGUAGGAUGGACUCAACAUUCUGUGUUCAGAGUCUUUGAAGGAGUCAUUGUAAGCAAAGGCAGAAACCUCCUCAAUGACAUCCCAAAGAUUCCUGCCAGUGCCCCUUCUCCUGUGUCAUCAUACAGCCCAAAAGCUGGGGUCCACACCAUGAAGAAACUCCACAUGACACCCAAAGGUUUGUCUCUCUGUCCCUGGAGCAUAGGGUGAGAAUGAGAAGCCUGCUACUUCUGAUUCUCUGGUUUCUGAGCCUCAAGUAGUUCAGGCUGGCCUAGAAUUCACUGUGUAGCCCAGGCUAGUCUUGAACUCUUGAUCCUCCUGCCUCCACCCCCACCAAGUGUUGGGGUUAUAGGAGUGUGAUGCCACUCCUGGUUUAUUCAGUAUUGGGAUUGAAACCAGGCCAGCACUCUACAACUCUGCCUCAUCCCAGCCCACUUCUGGUCCUUCAUACAGCCAACUAUCUUCCUGCUACUUAUAAUAAAUGCUUCCAGUCCUUUCUGCUGCCCUUCUCCAGGCUAAGAGAAGAAAGGAUGAAGGAAGAGGAAUGACAAUCCAUGCUAUGACAACUAAAUGGUAGCUAAAAAUAAAACAACCCUUUGCUUUAAUUACAGUGAUACAUACACUUUUGAAACUUUUCCAGAAGCUUUUCUGAAUGGCAAAGGUAGUUCACUGAAACUACUGACAUAGAAUAAAAUCCACCUUAGAGAAUAAAGCACAUCUUAAUCCUCAACUCAUCAAGAGUCAUAAAAACACAGCACACACCAAUGACAUACUUGUGAACUUACAUUCCUGUUCUAAAAAUCAAGGGUGAAUCACAUUGCAACCAGGAAACUGCCCUUGCCUGGGACUCAGGGGCAGCUGCCAAAGCACAGAACUGGUAAGUUUACGAGGAGACUCCAAGUUCCCGAUAUCUUCCCCCAAGAUUGGACCUUUCAACUCUUUUUCUCUUUUUAUUCUUUUAAAUUAAAAGAUGUGUGCGUUGUGUGUGUGUGUGCGCACGCGCUUGUGACUGCAAAUGCUGCCAAGUGAACUUGGACAAGCAUUACUGCAUCU